GUGUCCUAGUGGUUAGAGCAUCUGCCUUGGAUGCGGGAAGUCGUGGGUUCGAUUCCCCAGUCGAGUCA